rnacentral:tRNA from 1 species
CAGGUGUUAUUUUAUAAAAAUAUUAGCUUUGGAUGUUAAAGAUAGGAAGGAAUUCUUAUACCUGA